CGUAGGUGGCAAGCGUUGUCCGGAUUUAUUGGGCGUAAAGCGAGCGCAGGCGGUUUCUUAAGUCUGAUGUGAAAGCCCCCGGCUCAACCGGGGAGGGUCAUUGGAAACUGGGAGACUUGAGUGCAGAAGAGGAGAGUGGAAUUCCAUGUGUAGCGGUGAAAUGCGUAGAUAUAUGGAGGAACACCAGUGGCGAAGGCGGCUCUCUGGUCUGUAACUGACGCUGAGGCUCGAAAGCGUGGGGAGCAA
rnacentral:rRNA from 1 species